rnacentral:lncRNA from 1 species
UCUACAGUGAACAUUAUUUACUUUUAAUGCAAUUGAUUGAAGCAUGACUUAUAGGGGUAGUUCACCCAAAAAUGAAAUGUGUCAUUUACUCACACUCAACUUGUUUCGAAUUUGUUCUGUUGAAAAGAUGUUUUGCCUAUUUUCUUCCUAGCAAAACAUCAAUGUAUGUGCCAAAGUAGAAUUCAUCAACUUUAGCCUUGAUCUCUUUGAUCAGCUCAUCGUCUCUACACACCCUAUUCUACAUUGAAGUCAGCCCUUGUAUUUGUGACCAGAUCACACCAAGCUAAGCCAGUAACCAUCAGCUGACCUUGGACUUGCCAAUGGUAGGUGUGUGUUUUUCUUAGUUUUGCUUGGCCCCCAACAAAUUCAAUGUGUGAUGCCUCUCCAAUGUCUUUCACAUCAGGGCACUUAACUUCUACCAGGCCAUAGGAAGGUUCUUCAUUUGGGUGCACCACUUUGCCAUCUGGACUUGCACUAAGAAACGAUGCAUUGCUUUGGUGUGGGGGGCACCUUUAAUGAUCCGGCCAGCCUGUGUCAUUGCAGUGGAUUCGGACCUCACAUGAGCUGCUUCAUAGAACUUGCUUGCUAUGUCACCUCCAGACUCCAGGCAUAUGCAGGAGUUCAGCGCAGCUGUCAUCGACGAAAUUAUAUGGUGGAAGCUUGUAUUGUGGGACAGAAGACACCAUGGUUAGAGCAGACAUUCCAUCAACUAGCUUCGCUAUCAGUGGUUGUGGACAACGGGAAAUGAGGGAUGCUGCUCCAGCAAUGACAUCAUUGUCAGGUAAAGGUUCUAAAAAAAGUUCAUGCCUCAGUGUUUUAAUUGUUACCUAAUGUGAAGAUGUGUUUUAUUAGUAUUUGGCAGUGGUGGGCCGUCAGGGCCAGCAAAGCCUUCUCUGUCUCUGUCUAAGUCAGAAUCACUGAUUUAGUUUAAUAUAUUUUUCCAUGAAUGUGUAUCUUUAUUUGUUAAUGGUUGGCAAAUUAAAGUUGUUAAAAACUGACGAAUGAGGUUUCUGUCUUUAUAUUUACCUGGGUUCGGAGCCUAUGCCAGGCCUGCUGUUUGCUUGUGCAUGCAAGGGCAGCUGGAACAUUUUUGGUUCCAAUUGUACUAAAAUGUGCUGUCUGGUAAAGUAACCAGAUGGUUGC